rnacentral:rRNA from 1 species
UACGGAGGGGGCUAGCGUUGUUCGGAAUUACUGGGCGUAAAGCGCACGUAGGCGGCUUUGUAAGUUAGAGGUGAAAGCCCGGAGCUCAACUCCGAAAUUGCCUUUAAGACUGCAUCGCUAGAAUUGUGGAGAGGUGAGUGGAAUUCCGAGUGUAGAGGUGAAAUUCGUAGAUAUUCGGAAGAACACCAGUGGCGAAGGCGACUCACUGGACACAUAUUGACGCUGAGGUGCGAAAGCGUGGGGAGCAAACAGG